UACGGAGGGGGUUAGCGUUGUUCGGAAUUACUGGGCGUAAAGCGCACGUAGGCGGAUCAGAAAGUUGGGGGUGAAAUCCCGGGGCUCAACCCCGGAACUGCCUCCAAAACUCCUGGUCUUGAGUUCGAGAGAGGUGAGUGGAAUUCCGAGUGUAGAGGUGAAAUUCGUAGAUAUUCGGAGGAACACCAGUGGCGAAGGCGGCUCACUGGCUCGAUACUGACGCUGAGGUGCGAAAGUGUGGGGAGCAAACAGGAUUAGAUACCCCGGUAGUCC
rnacentral:rRNA from 1 species